GGUCCCACUGGAAGACCUGGGAUUCCGGGAAUAAAGGGGCAACUUGGAGAGAAGGGAGCCCCAGGAGAAGCUGGCAUGUCUAUCAUUGGUCCCCGUGGUCCUCCGGGACAGCCUGGAACAAGAGGUUUUCCUGGGUUUCCAG